rnacentral:rRNA from 1 species
UACAGAGGUCUCAAGCGUUGUUCGGAUUCAUUGGGCGUAAAGGGCGCGUAGGCGGCGAGGUAAGUCGGGUGUGAAAUCUCAGAGCUCAACUCUGAAACUGCACUCGAUACUGCUUUGCUAGAGGACUGGAGAGGAGAUUGGAAUUCACGGUGUAGCAGUGAAAUGCGUAGAGAUCGUGAGGAAGACCAGUGGCGAAGGCGGCUCACUGGCCCGGUACUGACGCUGAGGUGCGAAAGCGUGGGGAGCAAACAGG